UUUCUCCGAGAGGAAGGUUGGGUGGUCCAGAGGAUUUCCCAGAUGGAGCAGCAGGCUUCCCAUGCCUGCCAUUUGCAUAAGUGGCAAGGGGGGGAAAUGAGGAGACCUUCCAAUGUCUUCUCUACCAAGUGAAUCUCUGACUCUACAAGUUUCCUUCCCAAGACACUGUGGUCCAGGGCUACCUCCCUUACAGCCUACAUGACAACAUGUGCAAAUUAUUUGUCAGCAUCUAAUUGCAAGAACGAUGAGGAAACCAAGGCACAGAGGUUAAACAACGUGUCCAAGCCACGUAGCAAGUAAACAAUUGAGCCAGGCUCCAAAUCCAAACGUUCUGGCGUCAGAGUCCUAUAAAGAUUUUUUUGGCCUAAUGUGAGGAAGUACUUUCUAAGAAUAAGAGUUUACCAAUUAAAAGGGGGUUGCUGUUUUAUGAAGAUAUUUAAACCAAGGCUGAGGGGCCAUUUUCAAGGGAUGCUGACUCGGUAAAAGUUCUUUGGCAGCAAGCAUCAGAAACCAAAUGUAACAACUUUAAGCUAAAAAAUAAAAAGAAGGAAGAGGAAGAAGAGAAGAUGGGGUUGAGGGAGGAGGACAGGAAAAAAAAGGAGAAGAAAGGUGAAGAGGAAAGUGAGGAGGAGGAAGAGGCAAAAAAAGGGGCAUUUGUUGGAAGUGGGGUGCAGAAAAAAUAAACAGCUGAAGAUUCAAAUUCAAGAAGGACCAGAAACAAGGACUGCCCUAGGAUCCAGGGAGCAGGAACUGAUUAACCGUUUCUUUAGGGCACAAUUACCCAAAUAAAUCAGCUCUAAUGGAUUUCUGUCUUUUUGCCAUUCUGCUUAAGAUUCAAGUUCCAGGGAAAGAACAUUCCCUUGGCCUAGCCUUGGGAAAGAUCGACAAUAAAAAUCGCUAAUAUUUAUGGUGUUUAUUCUCUACCAGCCACUGUUCUAAGCACCACAUCUGCAUGUAUUUUCUUCUCACAGACACCCUAUGAGAUAGCUACUAUUAUAGCUAAGAAACUGAGACAGAGAAUGUUAGCUGUCAUUCAACGUGAGGCAGUGUGGUUGCCACCAUGUUUGCUCUAAUAUCAAAAUGGAAAGGAUAGGCUCCCUAAGACAAAAUGUUGAUGUUGAUGAAGAAGGGGAAUGGAUGCUAAGAGAUAAAACCCACAGAUGCUCUCUCAGGGCUUGGUCUUGCUAGAAGGGAAAGAGAGGACUCCCGAGGUGUCUUCUGACCCAGGAAUUCUACAUUCUAGUUUCCAUCCUAACCCUCUUGGUUAUUGCAAGGAGAAGAUGAAACAAAGCAAGGAGGCCGGGUGUGGUGGCUCACACCUAUAAUC